rnacentral:rRNA from 1 species
UAUUGGACAAUGGGCGCAAGCUGAUCCAGCCAUNCCGCGUGGGUGAAGAAGGCCUUCGGGUUGUAAAGCCCUUUUGUUGGGAAAGAAAUCCAGCUGGUAAUACCCGGUUGGGAUGACGGUACCCAAAGAAUAAGCACCGGCUAACUUCGUGCCAGCAGCCGCGGUAAUACGAAGGGUGCAAGCGUUACUCGGAAUUACUGGGCGUAAAGCGUGCGUAGGUGGUCGUUUAAGUCCGUUGUGAAAGCCCUGGGCUCAACCUGGGAACUGCAGUGGAUACUGGGCGACUAGAAUGUGGUAGAGGGUAGCGGAAUUCCUGGUGUAGCAGUGAAAUGCGUAGAGAUCAGGAGGAACAUCCAUGGCGAAGGCAGCUACCUGGACCAACAUUGACACUGAGGCACGAAAGCGUGGGGAGCAAACAGGAUUAGAUACCCUGGUAGUCCACGCCCUAAACGAUGCGAACUGGAUGUUGGGUGCAAUUUGGCACGCAGUAUCGAAGCUAACGCGUUAAGUUCGCCGCCUGGGGAGUACGGUCGCAAGACUGAAACUCAAAUGAAUUGAUCGGGG